rnacentral:rRNA from 1 species
UACGAAGGGGGCUAGCGUUGUUCGGAAUCACUGGGCGUAAAGGGCGCGUAGGCGGCUGUUCCAAGUCGGGGGUGAAAGCCUGUGGCUCAACCACAGAAUGGCCUCGAUACUGUAGAGCUUGAGACCGGAAGAGGUAAGUGGAACUGCGAGUGUAGAGGUGAAAUUCGUAGAUAUUCGCAAGAACACCAGUGGCGAAGGCGGCUUACUGGUCCGGUUCUGACGCUGAGGCGCGAAAGCGUGGGGAGCAAACAGG